rnacentral:lncRNA from 1 species
AAGUAUCUAAAUUAAUAUGUAAUUCUUCUUGCUGCUGCAAUUCUACAAGCUGAACUAGGUCCCUGAUAGUUUUUGUGCUCUUAGGAAGCAGAAUGUUUUUGCAUGUACUCUUAGAAAGCAGAAUAUUUUUGUCUUUAUAUCUGAGACGACAAGCUGAUCUAGAAAACGCAAAAGUAAAAUAAGUAUUAGCACAUGUGUGUAAAUCAUCAGAAUUGGCGAAAGUAGAAGGUAGCAUGUGUGCAUAAAAUGAAAGUAUCAAGAGCCUUCUCCUGAACUGGUGCACUUGAAUCUAUUACGGUCUUCCUACAAAACUUAAAAUUUUAAAAAAGAUGAAAGUCUAUCAACUAACAUACCAAUAUACAGAUUGCCACAAAGGAGAUUGUAAGCAAAGUAAACCAGAUCUAAUUGAAUUAAACCUUAACUGAAGUAAACACUCACCGAAUUCACAUAAGCACAGAUCGACACUUGGGAUUAAGAAGAGAAUAUAUCUAUAGAAAAUAGUUGUGCAACAAAGAGAGACAUGAAAAAAAAAAACAUAAGAGUACAAUACAAGAUAAUCGAGUUUUUACGUGAAACUCUUUAAUUACGUUAUCUUAUAAAAAGUAACGUCUGAAUAAGUAAAAAGCAUUUCUAGAAAAUUAUGUAGUGUUUUAUUGAUAAUAUAAAAAAAUCACAUAAUAUUUAUAUCUAAAUUCAAAUUUCUUAUGAUUUUCAUUCCACACUCUUCAGUAUAUUCACUUUAACUUAAAGCUUGGCUUAAAACCUCUACAGAUUUUAGUAGAGUUUAACAGAUAACUUCCAGAAUUAUUCAUAUUCUUUCGUCCCACAAGGCUCAACAUCCUAAGUCGAUUGCACUAUCUUAGUUUCAAUGUGUUUAUUAUAUUUUCUUUCAGAAUCAAUCCAUUUUAGUUGGUCAAAAUAGGACAUCAUUUUGCAAUUUACACCCACUGAUGAUCAAUACCAACGCAUCUUGUCCCUUCAACUUGUGUUCAUACUAAACUUAAAUGAAAGACGCAACAUGGCUCUUUGGAUGGAACAAUUUGUCACAAUAUUUUUAUUUGAAGUUUGAACACCAUGAUUCAUAUCAUCCAGGACUAUGGAAUUUCCUACAUCUCUUUAAUGAUUUGUCGUUUUGCCAAUUAUAUCUAAUUUGGCUUUCUAUUUCUAGGGGACAAAAACAAAUGGAAAAGAUCAAUGCCGCCACAGUUACAAUGCAUUUUUAAAAACCUUCUGGGAUUGAAUCCCCCUCAAUGCCUUCUGGGUUGAGCCUGUCACGCAUGGCUUAUCUAGUGCGGUUUAUCUCCCUGUGUGGUUUGCAGGCUAUUACACAGGGGAAGUUUACCCAGUGCGCACCAAGUGUAGCGGCUGCGGGUUUCCUCUUAUCAAAAAACAAAAGUUACAAUGCAUUUUUAACAUGCCAAAAUCAAACUUAUACAUAUAUUCAACUUUUUCGUGCCAAAUUACACGAUGUAGCAGUGAUGCCAACUUACUGUAACCAAGAAGGUAUCAUCUAGAAUUACACAUUUCCUCUAUGUAGGAGAUGAAAUUUUCAAUUUUUCUUUUUAGUAGUUCUCUAUUACUUCAUCUACCAAGGAAUUUUCAAAGGAAGAUCACGCAAUUCUCAAAUUGGAACUUCAGUGAAGACCUAGCUAAUUACAUAAUCAAAUUGACCACAUCACGAUGAAGAGGGACUUUUGCAUGAUUCGUUGAAUAAUGGUACUUUGCAUUUGGACUGGCAGGUUCUAACUUCCGAAAAUUCCUAUGUGUCUAUUGCAAUUAAUCCAAAAAAGCUUUCACUUGUUUUUGCAACUUAUAUGAAUAAAAAUUUGAGAACCACCAGUUUUGUCGCAUGCCAAAUUACAAUAUGUUUAUAUUUUAAUGGAGAGCAAACCAGUAAUGAAAAAUUAAUUAAUCUCUUAAAGAAAUUUAUCAAACACCUAUAACACAAUAGUUUUACCUAAGGACUUUUACCCAAUUCUUCUUCAGUAAAAUCUUGCACGCAAAAUGAAGUGGAGGGAAAAACUCAAGCUUCAAUGACAAAAUUAAAUAGUUACCCAAAAGUCCAAGAGAAUGGUGCGAUAAAAAUAACAGACUUCUGAUAGUUAGAGUCAAUUUUGAUACCAGAGAAUAGAAAAGUCAGCGAGGUAAUAUUUCACUUUUUGAUUUUUUGAUGUGUUUUACUCCAUUAAGCGUUGGUUUUAAUGGUUUCAGCAGUAGAAUGUUAGAUCCUAGUAUCCUAUGAAAUAUGGGGAAAAACAGAAGAUAAGAAAGAAGGAUAAUUACCGCAAUAAUCCACCGAAGUGCAAGAGAAAGAGCAAGGAAAAAGCAGACGACCUGAAGAUAGAUUAAAAGGAGAUUUACUUCCCAGCUAUGAACACUGAGAUAGGCUAAGCAGUGCAGCGGCGAUUUUUUUGUGGGAUAUACGCGUGAGAACUGUGGAAACCACGGAUACCACGUGUGUUAGGCUAAAAUAGUUGCAGGUUUUCCCAAAUAGCAAUUCCAGUCUUUCCAAAAUAACCCUGACGACCCCAAGCUCCUC